rnacentral:rRNA from 1 species
ACGGUCUCUUCGGAGAUAGUGGCGGACGGGUGAGUAACGCGUGAGAACAUGCCUUUAGAUUGGGGACAACAGUUGGAAACGACUGCUAAUACCGAAUGUGCCUUAGGGUGAAAGAUUUAUUGUCUAGAGAUUGGCUCGCGUCAGAUUAGCUAGUUGGAGUGGUAACGGCACACCAAGGCGACGAUCUGUACUUGGUCUGAGAGGAUGACCAGGCACACUGGAACUGAGACACGGUCCAGACUCCUACGGGAGGCAGCAGUGGGGAAUUUUCCGCAAUGGGCGAAAGCCUGACGGAGCAAUACCGCGUGAGGGAGGACGGCUUUUGGGUUGUAAACCUCUUUUAUCAGGGAAGAAUCGAUGACGGUACCUGAUGAAUCAGCAUCGGCUAACUCCGUGCCAGCAGCCGCGGUAAUACGGAGGAUGCAAGCGUUAUCCGGAAUUAUUGGGCGUAAAGCGUCCGUAGGUGGUUUAUCAAGUCUGCUGUCAAAGCGUGCGGCUUAACCGCAUAAGGGCAGUGGAAACUGAUGAACUAGAGUGCGAUAGGGGUAACAGGAAUUCCCAGUGUAGCGGUGAAAUGCGUAGAUAUUGGGAAGAACACCAGCGGCGAAAGCGUGUUACUGGGUCUGCACUGACACUGAGGGACGAAAGCUAGGGGAGCGAAAGGGAUUAGAUACCCCUGUAGUCCUAGCCGUAAACGAUGACAACUAGGCGUGGUUCGUAUCGACCCGAGCCGUGCCGUAGCCAACGCGUUAAGUUGUCCGCCUGGGGAGUACGCACGCAAGUGUGAAACUCAAAGGAAUUGACGGGGGCCCGCACAAGCGGUGGAGUAUGUGGUUUAAUUCGAUGCAACGCGAAGAACCUUACCAAGGCUUGACAUCCUCGGAACCCUGAUGAAAGUUAGGGGUGCCUUCGGGAGCCGAGAGACAGGUGGUGCAUGGCUGUCGUCAGCUCGUGUCGUGAGAUGUUGGGUUAAGUCCCGCAACGAGCGCAACCCACGUUUUUAGUUGCCAGCAUUCAGUUGGGCACUCUAGAGAGACUGCCGGUGACAAACCGGAGGAAGGUGUGGAUGACGUCAAGUCAGCAUGCCCCAUACGCCUUGGGCUACACACGUACUACAAUGCGUCGGACAAAGAGCAGCCAGCCAGCGAUGGUGAGCCAAUCUCAUAAACCGACGCUCAGUUCAGAUUGCAGGCUGCAACUCGCCUGCAUGAAGGCGGAAUCGCUAGUAAUCGCAGGUCAGCAUACUGCGGUGAAUACGUUCCCGGGCCUUGUACACACCGCCCGUCACACCAUGGGAGUUGGUCACGCCCGAAGUCGUUACUCUAACUGCUUGCAGAGGAGGACGCCGAAGGUGGGGCUGAUGACUGGGGUGAAGUCGUAACAAG